rnacentral:lncRNA from 1 species
GCAUUGAGAGAUCCAGGGUAAAUCAAGGAUUAUCAACAUUUGUUCUUUUAAGCUUCAAGUUUAAGGAUUAUUGAACGAGAAAGUAGUAUCAAAGAAUAUGAAUGCUUGAAUAGCCCCAAAAUGAAGAAAGAUUCACUAUUGAAUAAUAAUUAUAGCUAUGGUCUCUAAGAGGAACAAAGAAAUUAAUAAACCAUCUUCAACUUGGAUUGAAAAACCAUUAUGACAUCUGAUAGCCAAAUUUAGGCUGCAAAAGGGAUGCUUAGUUGUAAAUAAAAUGAAUUUAAUAUCUAAGUCAUGAAAGGAUUAGAAAGAAGAGAAAAUAUGAGAAUUUUUCAUUCCAGCAAUACGUCAAACAAUUGGUGUGCUUCAAGAAAAAAUUUUCAUCAACAAAACUCCUUCCUUGAAAAUCAAGAAAAACAAGAAAGGUUAAAAUCAAAUCAAAAUCUGAAAAUCCAAACUCCAAAAAUUAAAAUGAAGUCUUUUGAAUCGAACAUUUACAUUGAAGAUAACCAAAUCACCAAUAACAACACAGAUCACAACUGGCAAACAGUCAUCUGCAUGAAAAAGUAAUGAAGUAGAAGCCUAUAGAUUCUGUCGCUGUUGUUAAUGGCGGUAAAAUCAAAAUCUAACAUGUUUUGCUCCUUGGAGCAGAAUCUAAAAGAGUGAUAUCGAUGACUUUUUCCUAGGGAGUUGAGGUUCGAUACGGAGGCAGUGCCUAUGUCUUGGGCAUUCCGCUUCUACUUCAUCGGCUGAAGAGAAGGUGAAGGUGCAAGAUAAGUGGAGGAGAGAGGAUGAGGAAAUGAAGUUUGAAGUAGAGGCUUGGGAGGUGAUAUUAGUUGGAGAGAUUAAGGUGGCGGAGGCUUUGAUUAGAGGUUGAUAGGUGGUGGUAAUCGUAGAGGAGUGAUAAGGAUUGGUGGCGGUGGUGAUGGAGGGCUGUAAUAAAUAUGUAUUGAUUUUUGUCCAUGGGCAUAUAUUGUCAUUCAAAAAAAAACCCAUCUCAC